rnacentral:rRNA from 1 species
UACGGGGGGAGCAAGCGUUGUUCGGAUUUACUGGGCGUAAAGGGCGCGUAGGCGGUCAGCACAAGUCAGUUGUGAAAUCUCCGGGCUUAACCCGGAAAGGUCAACUGAUACUGUGCGACUAGAGUGCGGAAGGGGCAACUGGAAUUCUCGGUGUAGCGGUGAAAUGCGUAGAUAUCGAGAGGAACACCUGCGGCGAAGGCGGGUUGCUGGGCCGACACUGACACUGAGGCACGAAAGCGUGGGGAGCAAACAGG